GGCGAUAGCGCGUAUGCAAUCUGCAAUCAGUUCUAUACAGGUCAGAAGUAGACUUUCGCCCUUCAGACCGGAAGUAGAAUUGAUCAUCAAAGACUGUAGGCUCGGAGGUGCCGCCCCUCCUGACCCACCAGCUCAAUCUGCCAGAGCGGGAGGCGCCCGUUAAGGUGAGCUUGCGUCCGUAUUCACACUGCAGAGUGCUCCAGGCACCGCUUACGACGGAGACCGCGACCCAGAGGAGGGUGGGUACCGUCGUAAAGCAGACGAGAGCGUUAAAAUAACAGACUGGACCUGCGUCGGCAGCAGUUCCCCACCAAAGAGGCCUUGCUGCGUCAUCAGCAGCUCCCUGAACUUCACAAGAUGGAAAAAUGAAUGCUAGAUGCGCAGGAGGUCCAAAGUGCAGGCCAGGAGCCCUUUGUGCUGUGUCAACCAGGGUCCCUACGCAAGUAUGUCAGGUAUGGAAUUUGAUUCCAUACAUUUGCAGGUCUGGAAAAGUGUGAAAAAAAUAUUCACGUUUUCAUUAAUAUCAUGAUAAUAUACAUACAAUAUACUUCCUGAUUUCUUUUUUGCAUGUUUGUCACACUUAAAUGUUUCAGAUCAUCAAACAAAUGUAAAUAUUAGUCAAUGACAACACAACUGAACGCAAAAUGCAGUUUUUAAAUGAAACCUUUUAUGAUUAAGGGAGAAAACAAAUGCAAACCUACAUGACCCUCUGUGAAAGAGUGAUUGCCCUUCUGUUAAAACAUAACUUAACUGAGAUUAAUUGAGAUCUAUCAGUGUGGAAAAGGUUAUAAAGCCAUUUCUAAAGCUUUGGGACUCCAGCAAACCACAGUGGGAGCCAUUAUCCACAAAGGGCCACACAUGAAACAGUGAAACCUUCCCAGGAGAGGCUGGCCAACUAAAAUUUACACUUUUAUUUAAGUAAAUUAAAUGUAUUUAUUUAUUUUUACACUUUAAUUUAAGUGAUUUUUAUUUAUGUUAGUAUUUACUCUUAUUUGUCAUUUUUAUUUUUUAAAGUUUCAUUUAAGUUAUUUUUAAUUUGUUUUUUUUACACUUUUAUUUAGAUCAUUUUCAGUUAUUUUAUUAUUAUUUACUUUGAUGUAAGUCAUUUUAAUUGAUUUAAAAAAUUAUUAUUUAUUUAUAAAAUAAUUCAUAUUUAUCUUCUUUUUUUUUACAUGUUGUCUUUAUUAUCCAUCCAUCCAUUUUCUAUGCCACUUAUCCUCAUUAGGGUCGCAGGGGUAUGCUGGGGCCUAUCCCAGCUGACUUCGGGCGAGAGGUGGGGUACACCCUGGACUGGUCGCCAGCCAAUUGCAGGGCUCAUAUAGACAACCAACCAUUUACACACACAUUCAUACCACUCGUCUAUAUAAGAAGUAUCCAAAAUGUGCAGGCUCAUAAGGUACGGCCAUUUGACGAGACAAUACUUUUUCCAAAUAUACAUGAAAUGUAUCAUUACAAAAAUAUCCUGAAGGAAGCCUGCGAGGAGACGUGAAGGACGUGAUGAGAGGAGACGACGCGCACACGGCAGCAGCCCUCAGGUUACCGCGCUAAUUGCGUUGCGAGUGAAAGAGAAGAGGUCGACAUGCGCAUCUGACAUCUGUGCGGAGGAGGCGAUCGGGACGGACUCACCGCCAUGGUGGUGGCGCCCCAGACCUUUGCCUUUCUGCCAGCCCAGGGCUUGCAACAUUUUGCUACCAGUGUUGUCACUCGUCAAGCCAUCUUUGGUCAAAAUGAGCUUGAUCGUCAACAUAUUGCCAUGUGCAUGCGUCUGUUUUCCUCGUCUGCCGCCUCCAAACAGGGAAGAGAGGGCUUCACUCUGUGCAUUGGUUUCAGCACCUUGGUGCGUUUGUUCCAUAGAACAACGGCGUGAACGGAGCGAGCCCUUUUGUCAGUCAUACAGUCUCUUUGUCUCAGUGGGUGGAGGCGGGGCGUAGACUGAGUAGACUGCAAUACAUUGGCAUCGAUUUUGUAAAUACUUUUUCGGUGUACUUUACUUUUUCGGUGUACUUUACGUGAUGUUAAAAUCUCGUCACGUCUCAUCUCGUUCUCGAGACCUAAUCUCGUUUAUCAUCUCGCCCCGUCACACCCCUACUGUUUGUAUGCUUCAUAUUCAUGUUGUCCAUCUAGGGCAGGGCUAUCCAAAGUGUGGCCCCAGGGCCAUCUACGGCUGUUUUUAUGGGCCCACAGUGCAUUCUAAAAAUACAAUUAAACAAGGAAAAAAACAAAAAAAAGCAGUAAUUUUACAAGAAUGAAGCCAAAAUAUUAAGAAAAUAUAGUCAUAAUAUUAAAAGAAAAAAAUCAGCCUCUCACCCGAAGUCAGCUGGGAUAGGCUCCAGCAUACCCCCGCGACCCUAAUGAGGAUAAGUGGCAUAGAAAAGAUGGAUGAAUAAUAAAGACAACGUCUAAAAAGAAGAAAAGAUAAAUAUGAAUAAUUUUAUAAAUAAAUAAUAUUUUUUAAAUCAAUUAAAAUGACUUACAUCAAAGUAAAUAAUAAAUAACUGAAAAUGACCUAAAUAAAAGUGUAAAAAAUAAAUUAAAAAUAACUUAAAUGAAAGUUUAGAAAAAUUUAAAUGACCAAUCAGAAUAAAUAAUAAAAUAAAUUAAAAAAAACACUUAAAUAUAAGUGUAAAAAAAAAAAGAUAAAUAGGAAUAAAAUGACUUAAAGUGUUUAAAAAAAGAUUUGAAUAAAAGUGUAAAAAAAUUAAAAAUGACAAAACAAAAGAAAUACAAAUAAAAAUGAUUUAAAGAAAAGUGGAAAUAAUAAAAUAAAUACAAAUAAAAAUGAUGUAAAUAAACAUGCAAUAAAAAUAUAAAAUAAAAAUAACUAAGUGUAAAAAAUAAUCUAAAUAAAUAAAAAUGACUUUUAAAGUGUAAAUAAUAAUGACAUUAAAAUUUUAAUGACUUCAAUAAAGUGGAAAAUAAUAAAAUAGAAAUGAAAGUGUAAAAAAAUGAAAAUGACAAGAGUAAAUAAUAAAAUCAAUAAAAAAUCACUUAUAUAACAGUGUAAAAAAUAAUAAAAUUUAAAAAAGGAAAAUUGACUUAAAUAAAAGUGUAAAAACAUAAAUACAGAUAAAAAUGAUUUACUAAUAAAAAAAUAAUAAAAACAUUUAUGUAAAUAGCUUUAAAAGUGUAAAUAAUAAUAAAAUUAAAAUGACUUCAAUAAAAGCGUAAAAAAUGACAAGUGUGAUUUCUUUGUAAUCAAUUAAAAUGACUUACUUCAAAGUAAAUAAUAAUAAAAUAACUCAAAAUGACCUGAAUAAAAGUGUAAAAAAAAUUAUUAAAAACAACUUAAAUGAAAGUGUAACAAAUCAAGGUGUUCAUUUAUGAGUUUACCAUAAAAAAUAAGAAUAAAUUAAAAUGACUUUAAUGGUGAAGUGAUUUUUCCCUUCUUUUGUGUAAAGCACUUUAAAUGACCUUGUGUAUGCAUUGUACUCUAUAAAUAAACUUGCCUAAAAGUGUAAAUAAUAAUAGAAUAGAAAUGGCUUCAAUAAAAAUGUAAAAAAUAGUAAAAAUAAAUCAAAAUGUAAAAAGACUUCGAUAAAAGUGGGUUACAACUUAUUGACCACUGGAAAAUGUGAGUCCCAGGCUGAGACCAUUUUAGAACCUCUGGUGGAGGAUAGACAAUACCUUUAAAACCUACAUACUGUAGUUUGUUCACUUUUACAUGUUUGAAAAGUGUUGUAGUUGAGUAUGCACAUGCCAGUAUGGAACUGUGGGAUUUACUGACAAUGACUCCAAGAAAACAAAACGUCUGGAAAAAGAUGAGUUGUCUUUAUGUUGGGGUUCUGUAGAUUUACACAUACAAACCAGCAGGUGGCACCAAACAACUUCUCCUCAAGCGAGUCUGAGCUUUUCUUCCUGUCAUUCACGCACACACACACACCAGUGUUUUGUCUAAAAAAUAUUCAUUUUGUUAUGUCUUGGAUUAAAGUGUGAUCUUCCAUUCAGUGGGUGUAGAGCUUUACACACACGAAAACCAGUAGAUGUCGCCAAAAUACUUCUCCUCGAGCCAGUCAGAGCUUUUCCUCCUGAUUUGAUUUUGGCUUCAAAAAUACGUUCCAAAAAACAGGUCUGAGAAAAAGAGUAUUGUUUUAUAUUCAGGGUCUGAAGAUUUAGACAUGGAAAUCAGCAGGUGGCACCAAACAGUUUCUUCCCCAGCGAGUCAGAGCUUUUCUUCCUGUCACGCACACACACCAGUGUGUCUUGGAAGAAAAGGGUCUUCUGAUUUAAAGAUUUACCUGCAAACAUUACAGAAGUCAGAAAUGAUUAGCAGUGCACUUACCGAUUAUCCCCACAAGAGGCCAUCCCUGGCAUUUAUGGUCUUCCAAAAAUGCCGUAACAGCAAAUGAACUCACAGGGGACCCUCGUCAUGGACUGGAGGCUGAAAACACAUAGAAAUGCACCUUUAUUGCAUUUUCACAGAUAGAAUAAAGCUUUCCCAAGUCACAAACUGUGUUGUUAUGAAUCUUUGGGGUCUGUAGAUGAAUCAGUCUAGAUUUGAAAAGUGUAGGCCUAGUGGUUUUUAAAGUGGACCGUGUCUAAUAUGACCUAGAGGCUGCAAACAUAGAUAAAUGUACCUUUAUGGCUCUUUCACAAAUAGAAAACAUUUUUCGCAAAUCACAAACUGUGUUUUUAUGAACCUUUGGGGUCUGUAGAUGAAUCCAGUCCGGAUAAGAAAGUCUAGGUCUAGUGAUUAUUGAACAGCACCAGGUCUAAUAUGGACUAGGUUCUAAACAAAACGUCUAAAUGUGCCUUAAUUGCAAUUUCACAAAUAAAAUAAAAGUUUCACCAAUCACAAACUGUGCUUUUAUGAACCUUUGGGGUCUGUAGAUGAAUCCAGUCCAGAUAGGCCUAGUGGUUUUCAGUGGACCAGGUGUAUGGACUAGAUAUGACCAGAUAAUAUAGACUGAAAACAGAGAAAUGUACCUUUUUUGCUUUUUCAGUAAAAUAAUAAAGUUUUCAGCAAAACAAAAGUGGAUGUCAGGCAAAGAUAAUGUCUUAGCUAAAAUGUUUUCACGCUGAGAAGUGUGACAAAAAACACAAUCAGCGGACAAAUAAUUGCACUGCAUAUUAGGUUAAUAACACCUUAAAUCCAGUUGGAAGCUAACUUCAGCCUUGUCACUUGUCAGUGCCCACUCGGUUUCCAAGCAUGGCACCGACUCAGCUUAGCAGAAUCUGUGCCACUUGACUAAGCCGUUUUGCAUAACAGUCUUGUCCCCAAGCAAACUGUACAGACGAUGCUGCUGGCAUCCAUACUGUGCAUCAUGUACCAAAGGGACAGAGAAUGGCAUCAAAACAGGGCUUGAGAUCACGUGCUGCCUUUACACCCCAGAAAUAAAUCAAAAUACACUAGGUACCCAACUUACGAACACAAUUGGUUCCAGACGACCGUUCUUAUGUUGAAUUGUUCUUAAGUAGGGGAAAAGGUAAUAUUACCAAUGAUAUAGGUACUACAUGUACGUGUAUACAUAUACAGUAUAUGUGUAUGUAUGUAAAUAUGAGUUUGGAUGCAGUAGUAAUAUUAAACCAGGAUAAUUAAUGAAAAAAACAAUAAUAAAAGUGAUAUAAUAAUACGUAAUGAUAAAUGUUAUUUACCUUUGAAGAGGAGUGGUCGAGCAUAUGUUGUUGUGCUGGAGGAGGAGUUAUUGAAAAAAAGGACAAAUGGCCGUCGUCGUUAGACUCUUCUAAAAGAGGUAGUGUUCUGUGGGUGGUGUAGAAUUAAGCAGGCCUAUUAACUCUUCAUAAACUUUAAUCACAUGCUCUGUCCGGGUUUUAUAAUUUUUUUCCCCAGCGUCUAACUCUUCCUCUGUUGGUCCCAUUAGCUCUAACGCUGCCUCUGUUGGUCCCAUUAGCAGUGUCACAGUUCCCUCUACUGGUCAAGCAUGUACAGUAGCAGUAUAAAUACUGAUUGAGCGACUACAAGGCAAAAUGAAAUAAAAUAUAGACCAGUCGGCUUGUGUUCGUAUCCACGAAUGUUCGCUAGUCGGGUGUUCCUAAGUUGGGGACCUAGUGUACGUAUCAGACCAGUAGUUCCCAAUGCAGUUUUUUCACAAACCACCCUCAGUGGCAGCGCCAAUAUGUAGCGUUACCUUUCUGAGGCACUGUGAGCGUGUGUGUGGUGAAGCUAGUCGCUAGCCGCCUGGCUAGUAGCUAGCCGGUGUGGUGUGGCGAGGUGUCACUACACCAGUAGGUAGUUCUUGGGAGUAACAAUGUUAAUAACAAUAAUAAUAACAACGUCGCUGCAGCUUGGUUAAUAUGCAGGUCACAUGAUGGAAAUGGAGCCUUGUUGGCGCUUUUUGGAGGUGUGUCCCGUUACGUGCAUUCUUAGCUACCUCUUUUUAGCUGUUUUUACAUCUAAGACAUGCGUGUUCAAGUCUCAUGUAAGGAUUGUGGAUGAUGGGCAAGAUUCCAAAAAUGUGCACCUUUAAGUGAUCAAGCAUUUCAUUUUUUUUUUUUUUAGCCAAGAAUGUAUUUUAGUUUGGAAUAAACAGAAAAAGCAUCACUUAAUAUGUAUUUUAGUAAUUUGAAGAUUUCUAAAUAAUGGACAGAUAAUUAGAAUAUAGAAUGCCAUCCGUUUUCUAUACCGCUUGUCCUCACUAGGGUCACCGGGGUAUGCCGGAGCCUAUCCCAGCUGACUGGGGUACAUCCUGGACUGGUCAUUAAAGAAAAGUCAUAUUUGUGAUCAUGUUUUUUAACCGGAAAAAAAGCACCACAGAAUUUGCGGAUUAUUAUUCAGUGCCAAAUUUAAGUGUUUUUUGUUUUUUUUCAAUUAUGUAAAUGGUGGUUAAAAAAAAACAUCUUAAGAUUUUUUUUUAAUUAUUAUUAUUUUAAGAGAAGUAAUUUGUUUUUUGCGUUUUUAUAAGAAAAAAUAAAUCAAACAAAAUUAUCUGUGACUGAAAAGUUGGACCCCAAAGUAAAGUUUAAAUGAUUUAUUAACAAAAAGCACAGAACAGUGAAAAAAAUGUCUUAUCAAAAAUACUGGGAAUAAUAAAAAGCAAUGGCAACAAAAAUACCACCGUGAAAAUACUCGAAAAGAAAAACAAAUACCAACCAAGAGGUGUGCAUGACAAUUAUCGGGCCUAUAAUUAGCUCUGAUAACGGUUAAUUUAAAAAACGCUCCAAUGCGUCAAGAUUACCCGUACUGUUGCGGUGGGCAAAUCAAGCGCUCCUUUUUUCUCCAGCCUGUCGUAACGUGCCCUGAAUGAACAAACAUUCACAGUUUCAAAGACAUUUCGCAUGCUAGUUGUACCAAAUGCUCCGCGACGAGGGGGGAAAAAAAACAUCGAGCACACAAAAAAACCUUGAAACCCCAGCGCCGCGGCGUUUGAAAAGCGCAAAAAUGUUUGUCGGAGACCAUGGCGUCACACUGGCUGCUCGGAGCGCGUGUCCGAAAACAGUGCACCUUGCUGGGCCACGCCAGGUGGCUCCCUCCCAUCUAUACUUUGGUUCUCCUGGCCUCCAUAGGAGCACACCGGCUGCUCGGUGCAUGUGUCCGAAUAUAGUGCACUUUGCUGGGCCACAGCAGGUGGCUCCCUCCCCUCUAUACUCUGGUUCUUCUGAUAGUAGUGAUGUUGUAGUAAUAAUCAAACAAAUCAACAGGUACAGUGGGUCAAAUUCUAAUUUGUUCCAGUCCUUGUUACCUCCAGGUUUGCACAAACUACACUUAAAUGUCCAUUUUUUUAAAGUACCGGUAGAUAUAAAAAUCUUGAGAAGCAGAAAGUUAUUGGUAUUGGUUUGACAAAAAAGAUAUCGUGUCUCUCUACUACACACACAAAAAAAGGAUGACAAGAAAAACUAGCACCAGUAGGAAAAGUACUGAUCCAAAACACAAAAUCCUCAAUAGCAGGUCGAGACAACAACAGGAACAGGAAGCACAAGGGAGAGCGGAGCCAGCACACCCAUUUUCAGGAAGCAUUUGCCAUUCAUAGUUGCACAUUUUUAAACCUUUAAUGCACUUUGUACUUCUCAUCAUGUAAUAAAACUUUCUUCCACCUUUCAAUGUCCCUUCACUUGGGCUGAAGAUGGUCCCGUGUCUUGACGGACAGCCAAUGGGUGACAUUUUUUGGGGUCUACCACUUGACUUUUUUGAGCCUCAGGAUGUUUUUUAGAAGUUUGAAAUGACUGUCUUACUGCGUCUAACCUCAGCAGCAAUGGUGCGCUGCGAGGGAGAGGUCUUGCUCAUGCAGCUCAACAAUCCCACCGCCUUCGAAGGGAGAAAGCUUUUUUGCCUUUGCCAUCAAGAGAUCAUGACAGUGUGAACACCUGACACUAAAUCACAUUCAAUCCCCAUUUUUGCCAACAUUUUGCCUUUUAAAGGCUGUGCUCUUCAUCUUUUGAUCAGCUGAUGAACACUUUAAUCAGUGACAUUUGAUGAGUCGCCUGUCGCUGGUCAUUAUGUAUGUUAUGUGCAAAUGGCAGGGUACUGUAGAUGCAGCAAUGAUGUUUUCAUUGGCACUGGAAUGCAGUCAAAUCAUCUCUUGAGGUUUUGAGACAAUAUGCCAUCACAAUCAACCUGCAAGGAGACACAAGAGUGUGUAAGUGUUAUGUAAUCAGCGUGUUUGUGAGGCGUUUAUCAAGAGGAGACAUCUGGCAUGCCUGAGGGAGAAUGCUGUUUGUUAUUCUCUCCAGGCUUCAAUCAUAUGGGAAUUUUUUUUUUUUUUUUUUUUUACACAAUUUCACAAUGUGUGCAGGCCUCUUCUUUUAGCAUCAAGGAAACACACACACACACACACACACA